rnacentral:lncRNA from 1 species
AAUAUAACCCAGGGAUACUAGUGAAGCACACUCAAAGGUUGCCCACGUUCAGAGUUCUUGUGGGCAUCCCUGUGGUUGAUCUAUAAGUUGUAGUGAAUCAGGGAUGGGGAUUUGGGGCAGUAAUGUCUACCACCACACUCAGCGAAACUUCCUGAUUUUUGAUGGCUUAUGAACAUAACACCAAAGAAAGGGUCAUUUCAACAUUAAAGACAAUGGCUUCUGCUGACAAAAAAAUGUAAGAAGUGUUCCUGUACCUCCUGAGCCUGAAUGGUCAGCAAGGAGCCAACCAUUUUUUUGAAUACCUGUGGCAUCCUUGAAAGAAUUUUGUUACUGUUUCUGCUGGAUCACCUCAGGGAAAAUCAGUUUUGAGGACAUGUUAAGUCAGGAGAAAGGUUACCAUUACUAAGACCCUUCCCAUCUAUAAAGAACCUUAAUCAUCACCAUCUCUCUUUCUUUUUUGUUUUUAACCACCUGACAUUUGUAUAUAUGUAAAGGAAGACCAUCUGUAAAUUUUUCCAGUUAAAGUAAACAAAAAAUUUAAUACGCAAGUACAAACCUGUGCAGUGCCCUUUAUAAGUCUUUCGAAGAAGUACUACACCCUGCCACAUCAAAUGUUGAUGAUCUGCUUGCUUAGCGGGAGGGCAUUUGCUUACUUUUUCUCUAAUUACUUUACUUCUACUCUGAUCUUGCUGUCUCAGUUCUCCUACCAGCAUUGAUACAGUAUAAAAGGGAAUAUUAAGAGUUCCAUUUAGUAAAAGGCUUCAAUCUAAAUGAGAUGAAGGGAUAUAGAAACUGUUUUUCCUCUGACUAAAGAAAAAUGAUUGGGAUGAUCUGUUAAAGUUUCGAGAAACUCAAAUAGGCCCUAUUUGCCAAUAUAGGACAGGAAACCCACAGAUUAAGUAUUGGAUAAUCUCAAAGCUCCUUUUGGCCAAUUGGUGCCAGUUUUCUCACCCACCAAUCUUUCCUCAACUGUUAAAAAAAAAAACAGGAAAUACAUUGAUUGACAUUUGUCUUCUCUUAGCUGUGCUUUGUUUCAAAGUUGAAAAACAAAGAAAAGGAGAGAAACUUACCUCCUGAGUAAUCUAAU